rnacentral:rRNA from 1 species
GUCUACAGCUAUGCUACCCUGAACAAGCUUGAUCCUGUCUGAACUUGGAAGCUAAGCAGGGUUGGGCCUGGUUAACACUUGGAUGGGAAACCACCUAGGAAGACCAGGUGCUGUAGGUG